UAAGAUGAAAUUGUACAGAUCUAGACUUUAUAUAAUAUUUUGCUCAAUUCUACUUCUUUAUUUCGCAGAAUAUUUUUAGUUUUACUACAGUUGAAUCAAAAUCAAAAAUUUCCUUAUGCGGAGUUUCGGAUCUUUUGAAUGUUCAUUUUACAAAUUGUAAUCACGUAAUGAGAAGCUGAGGGCAUACUAUUGCUAGACCAAGACACGGGACUUUGCAAAUACAUAAUUAUAUUCAAUUUCAAACUGGUUUCAGAAGUUUUAUUUGUAUCUUCGUUACCAAAAAGAUAGACAUAUAGCUUAGGUUAGUGUAGAAAAAUAAGAUAAUAUCCACAUUAUAGUGGAUAAUGUUUAAGUAUUCUGAAAUUUUUAACUCGGCAGUCAGACUCGCUACAAUGACACCUAGAAUCGACGCCAUGUUUGUAUUGCUAUGACGUUAAUAGACUUUAGGUGUCAUCACUGGCCAGUAUACAUGAUUUUUAUGUAGGAAUACAUUGUUAAAGAAAUAAGUAUUUAAUAUUUUUUAUUUUAUUCUGUAAAAUAUUUAGGUGGAAGGGGGGUAUUUAAAUAUUAACCUUUCAUUAUAUAGUUUUAAUUGUACAGGUUUAAUGAAGUUCGUGUUAAAAACAUUAUGUCCUUACCGUAGACUUAUGUAAAAAAGGGGGAUUUUAAAAAACGUUUAUUUCUCUAAAAAUAAAGUGAAUUAAAAUAAGUCUUCUUUAUUUUUUACCUAUUUACCUCAAAAUAAGUAGGGAAAAGGGGAAUAACAUCUUAGAAAAAAAAUAAACUAAAGAUUUUAUUAAACACCUUUAUUGCAACAAAAAUCACUAUAAAACAUUGGGGUUUUGCAAAGAAUACAUAAAUUACGAUUAUUUCAUAGAUCAAACAUUAUUUCUAUACAAAAUUGCGAAUUACGCUAUAAAAUAAUAAAAUAUACAAAUGCAAACGUCUACUAUCAUGUACAAAAUAAAGUAUUUUGGAUAUGUAUAUGGAAGAGUUAAGUCCGUACCUGCUAUUCUCAAUACAAGUAUAUGUAUGCAUAUCCAUACUGAGUCUUAACUAAAAUUAUUGCGAUUUUCAAUAAGAUAUUUUAAUUAUAAAGAUGCUUAGCACUUGGUAUACCGGUAACUCAACUCUUUCAUAUUAGAAGCUUUAAAAUGUUCCACAGCUGCCUUGGUUGUUCUAUUUCAUCAUUUAUACAUAGAUAUUACAUGACACUAAAUUAUAAAAUAAUAUUAAAUAUACCAUCAAACAUGUAAGUUCAUUUUACAACAAAAUUAUCUUUUUGUUUUCUAAAUUAAUCUUAAUAAUUACAAUAAUUUCACAAAUCAAACUGGAUGGAAUAAAUACAGUCUAAUUGAAAUAAAUCACAUGAAUUUGAAAAGAAAUUGUCACCAAAUUUGUUAUCUUACUUAAAAUAUUACUACAUAGUAUAAAACAAAGUCGCUACCCGCUGUCUGUAUGAUCUUUACAAUUACGCAACGGAUUUUGAUGCGGUUUUCUAUAAUAAAUAGAGUGAUUCCAGAGGUAUUAGAAGAACACUGAUAGUUUUAGAAGUUUCUAAUGUGGUCUAAAUAAACACAUUUUUUUUGCGCAUAUAUUAUAUUUAUUUUAUAUUUAGUAUUACCAUUGCACUCGUGCGAAGCCAGGGCGGGUCGCUAGUUUAUUAUAUAAACUUAUAAUAUAAAAAUUACAAGACCGGAACUUUUAAGUCAACGGGGUUAUAUGGUAAGGGUUGGAUGUAGAUUUUAGGUAAUAAAAUUUGUAUGUAUAUUUAAGUAGCUUAAAAUAUAUAUAAAAAGCUUGGUGUAGCGUCAGUUCGUUUGUCACUAGGAGAUUCAUAAAGCAGUCGAAGCUAUCACAAACUAUUAGAGCGAAUUGACAGAACAAUAUUUUUUUUGUGUUGACAGAAAUACUUCCUAACACACUGACCAGGACUACUUGAUGUAACAAUUAUUUGUUAUCGAGUCACUGUGAUUUACAAGUUUGGUAAAUCAACCCAUUGUCUUAAAAUGUCUUACUAUUCAAAUAGUACACUAUAUCUGUCAAAAUCAAGAGAGUUUUAAUGAUUGACAACUGAUAUACCAUAUUCAAAUGCAAUACUAGAAUUUUAUGACAGUAACUCGUAAUGACACCUUAAAUCAAGACCAUUAUUUUUAUCUUAAUAAUACAGAAAAAGUUAACAUUUUUUGACAUUGCAUUCAUUCGAAUUACUGGUUAUCUAAAAUGUAUAAAAAGCUUGGAUAAUCGAUAUAGAAUUGAAUAAACAAUAUAUAUUUGAAUAUAAAUCCAAGUUGUCAAUUACUUAUUCAUGACAUAUCUGGUCAGCAUGUUAAUCUACGUUUCCAUACAUUUUAUUUCUUUUCUUCUUCCGAUGUUUGUCUGUCCAGACAAUUUAAAAAAGUAAAAAAAAAGCAUUUUUAAUUUUAAUUAUACAAUAAAGACUUAUUCGUACGUGUGCAUGUUCAUUGAUAAAAGUUGUGUGUCUUAGAAAAUUGAUGUUUCUAGCAAAAUAUCUGUGUAUAAUUACCAUUAAAAUUUAUUUUAUUAUUGUCUAAUGUAUUGUAUAUUGUAAUAUUUAGAAGUUUGAUAAUUGACUUUGUUUUAACUUUUUAUUAAUAAAGACAAGUCUCAAAUCGACACCAGCAAUUUAUACUAAGCUAACUCAUAAAAGAGAACUUUACAUUAGAGCAGGGGUUCCCAAACUUAUUUUGUUUACAGCCCACAAAGAGAAUAAAUUAUUUUAUAGUGCCCCCUUUGAGCAAUCUUUUAAUGAAUAUUAGUUGAUGUUCACAAGUUGUAGUCGAGAGUCCUAAUAGAUUAAAUGAUAAAUCGCCCCCCAAGCCUCUACACAACGGCACCAUUUUUUUUUUCUGGUCUCCCCAUUAGUACUGCAGCGCCCACAAGGGGGCGUUAUCGCCCACUUUGGGAAACACUGCAAUAGAGACUUAUAAUAGGUAAAAACGUGAUACCUUUUAUAUUAAGAAACUUAUUUGCAAUUUGGUAUCUUUAAUAGUUAAUUUAUUCAUUGCAAUUUUACAAUUUUUUUAUUAGAUAUAAAAACACAUUUUAUCAAGUUCGCAUUAAAAAACCAACUUAUCGAGAAUUCGAGUUGGCGUAGUAUAAGUUCGGUAUCGGUAUCUAUCGGUAUUUCAAACAGAGUUAAGACCAAUGAUUGAUAUUUAAUAUGAAUAUACUUUUAAAGGCUUCGUCUGGACAGACAAUAUCUUCUAUGUAUAUGUAGUACAAAAAUAUACAAAUAACACUCAUUACUAAUAUUAUUUAAUUGAUAUCGACCUCUCUAUACUAUUUUCUAUUUCAAAAUUCUAUUUUAUUUAAAACUGACCGACAUUUUGUAUUUCAUUACACUUUUAACGCUCAUUCGUAUAAAAAAUCUUUAAUAUCGUUAUUCUAACAGUGACAAUGACACCCUUUGACGUCAUAUUUCCUUUGUAUUUCGACUGUCCCUAAGUACAGUAUCGAAACUAAAAAAAUUCUAUUUUUUUAUUGCAUGAAAAAACUGUGCUGUGUGGCUACGGCACUAAAGAAAUUAGCCACCCCCUCUCUUCCCGUGGGUGUCGUAAGAGGCGACUAAGGGAUAACAAGGUUCCACAACCACCUUGGAACUUAAGAAGCCGACC
rnacentral:misc_RNA from 1 species